UCCCCCUGUCCCCAGCUCUCAGAGCCGGCUGCUAUGAAGCCCAGGAAUUGCUGGUGUGGUCCUCACAGGCCCAGCGCCGUUGCUCGCCUGGGCUUUGUUCCACGAAUGGGGAAGGAGGCGGCCGCACAGGAGUAAAGCCCGCUGAGCCGCUCAGAUCACCAUCAGCCCAGCCAGGACACACGGGUGUGCCAAGGGAGGGGACUGUCAGAGGGAAGGCUCCCGAGGACAGAGUGGAAAGGUGAAGAUCCUGGUGCGACCUGUUGUAGGAAGAAGGUGGACUUCCUGACCGUGUGACACUUCCUGUCUGCCCUCGUACCUUGGCCGGAUUCCAGUGCAGGUAAUUACAUUCUGUCUUCCUAAAUUCCCUUGUAACUCCAAGUGGGCAAGCUGCUCUCCCCCACCCCCAGCUGCCGGGAGCUGAUGUGCUGGUGCCUGGCUUCAAAUGGGGUGGCACCUGAGUGGGCCGAGGUGUCCCCCGCGUAAGCACUGGGAGCCACGGCACACGCGGGCUGCCAUGCCAACGGGAGCAGUGCUGCUCUUCGCGCCUCUCCACGUGCGGCUGCCAGCCCGGAGCUGUCUCCGACGACACCUUAAACGUGACGGCCAGGGUCAUCAGGAUGAGGAGCGCCGGGGCUCCCCUCCACCUUUAGAAUUUCUGGUGGCUGCCAGCAGGGCUGGGGAGCAGAAGGCGGGACCACGAGCCAGCGCCCGGAAGCGGCCUCCGGCGGUCAUGCUGCAUUUUCCACAAAACGCUGUGCUUUUUUGUCUGUUUGCUGUGCUUUCCUGUUACCUCCUGAUGGAAGCUAAGGGGACUUGUUGGGCUUCCGCAAGUUGUUGCUGUCACUUUCGUUUCUGAAGGAACGGAAGGCGUCGUGUUUUCUGCUGGUAGGGAUGAACAGUCCCUUCUAAAAAUGUCUGAGAUUCAGCUCACUUGAAGUUAAUUCUCUAAUACUUAAUGGAGCGUCUGGCGUGUGCCCGACCUUGAGAAAGGGCGAUUUGGGUCUCAGAGCACUUCCUGAUUUUAUCUUUUUGAUGAAUAUUUAUUUGACUUGUGGGUAUCCGUGUGUUUUCCAAAAAAGCUACGGAGGUAAUUCCUGUAAAAUAGUAUCUCUGUUGAUAACCAGAGCGUGGAAUACCGUGCAAUACGGCAGGGAACUGAUUUCAGUGAAAAAUGCAUGUCACAAGCUGGAAACCAGUAUUCACUGCAGACUCGGACUCCGGGCACUUCCGGUACGGAGGUGCGGAAGAGUCUGCGUGAGAAAGCAGUUUGGCUUCAAAGACGCACGCCGAGGUGACGAGGUGACGAGGUGACGCGAUCCUUAUCGGACGUCCAGGGAAGAGCAGCUGCUGGUUUCAGGAGUCCUGCUCUGCACGGAUGCUGGGGGGCUCGGGGCUGGGCUCUGGGCAGGGGUCAACUCUGCUGGUUUCAGGAGUCCUGCUCUGCACGGAUGCUGGGGGGCUCGGGGCUGCGGCUCUGGGCAAGGCUGUGACGGCACUGCUGGGCUGGUUCCUUCCACAGACCUGGACGUGGGCGGACCUUGCCAGUACCCGCUGGGAGUAUUUGUAUUCUCUGUUCCUCCCACCACUAGGUGCCAUAAACCGACGGCACGAUCCCACUGUGCACGGUGACCAAAGCCACACUGGAGGAAAACUUAGGCCUCACCAGCCGGUGUUUGGAUAAAAAAUUCUUCUCGCCAUUCCUGCCCCCGUGGGAUCAUUGCUGAUGAAGCACAGAACUCGGCCCGGGGCUCUCACCGGGGCUUGUAACUCCGCUUGUGACCCUAGUGACCUGCAUUUUUUCCUAAUCACAGGCAAAAUAGCGAAUUGGCAAACCUCAGGAAGUGGGUACACCGCCCUGACCUACCAGGAAGAGCCUAGGGUGACUGAACAGCUCAGGAAUUCAGAGCAAUGAAUUUAUGGUUAGGAAAACUCGUGUUCUCACUCUGAUGAAGGUCCUUAACUUCCACCACGCUUCUCCGGUUAAGCCAAGCGGCUCACGCGGAAAUCGCUGUCCACAGCUGCUGCCAAUUGAUUUAUCCCCUGAUAACAGAGCCACAGACCGCAUUGUUGGAAAGAAACAGUCCUUUAAUUUCGGAGUUUGGGGCUGUCUGUUCAUGCACGCUCGGUUGUGUAUAUGAGCAGAGAUUUGCAGUGGUCCGACUUUUCCGGGAGACCUGGGGGGUUUUCCUGCAGCUUCGAGGGCCUGCCCUGCCCGUGACCGCUUCCCACGGCCGCCCCGCGGGGGAGUGAUCUCUGCACGCAUCCCCCCAGGAUCUGCAGCUCCUUCUUUGGCGUUUGUGAAAUUCUUCAAACUGAGGGAUCUGUGUGAGAAGCCAAGGAAUCAACAUCUAGGGCAAUGUCAAUGUGAAUUGGGAACAAUUUAUUUCGAGAAUCCGCUGAAACGUGCUGUCGCCCUCGCCCUGAGAUGGCUUGGUUUCUCCGGGCCUUCCCGUCUCUCUCUCCACAGGGAGCAUCCAGAAGUGCCUUCUUUCAUUCAGAGUGUUUCCCAAGCACCUAUCAUUGUGUAGGGGAGGGUGCGUAAGAGAGCGUCUCUGAACCUCCUCAGGACUUACGAGAUGAUAAAUAAAACAAGCAGGGCUGGCACUGAGACGCCAUCUGUGACACGGCGUCCCAUGUGGGCACCGGUUCGAUUCCUGGCUGCUCCACUUCCAAUUCAACUCCCUGCUAAUGCACCUGGGAAGAUGGCCUGAGUGCUCGGGCCCCUGCCAUCCACGUGGGAGACCUGGAUGGGCUCCUGCCUUUGGCCUGGCCCAGCCAUGGUCAUUGGGAGAGUGAAUCAACAGAUGGAAGAUCUCCCACUCUCUGUAAGUCUGCUUUCAAAUAAGUAAAUAAAGCUUAAAAAAGAAAAAGAAAGGCACUGAAUGGUUGCAUAAAUACUUAGCAGCUGAGAGAGACGCACAGGAGAAGAAGCAGGAGGGCUCCCAGCUAGGAUGUCCUCUACUCUCCUCCCGCACGUGCAUCCAGCAUCGUUGUUACACAGGCCUCUGUGUUGCGUCUGAUGUUUUUGGUGGGCAUUUGGAGAUUGGGAUAGGGAUGUCUAAAAUAUUUCAUCUUUUAUUUAAUGGUUUCUCCUAGACAACAUGCUCACAGUCAAUAUAAAAACCUAAAGCAAAUCUGUUAAUGUGCUUUGAAAUAACCGAAUUUUAUGAAAAUAUUGUGGUUUCUUCUAA